rnacentral:rRNA from 1 species
AGUGAACGCUGGCGGUAGGCCUAACACAUGCAAGUCGAACGGCAGCACAGUAAGAGCUUGCUCUUACGGGUGGCGAGUGGCGGACGGGUGAGGAAUACAUCGGAAUCUACUUUUUCGUGGGGGAGAACGUAGGGAAACUUACGCUAAUAGCGCAUACGACCUACGGGUGAAAGCAGGGGAUCUUCGGACCUUGCGCGAGUGAAUGAGCCGAUGUCGGAUUAGCUAGUUGGCGGGGUAAAGGCCCACCAAGGCGACGAUCCGUAGCUGGUCUGAGAGGAUGAUCAGCCACACUGGAACUGAGACACGGUCCAGACUCCUACGGGAGGCAGCAGUGGGGAAUAUUGGACAAUGGGCGCAAGCCUGAUCCAGCCAUGCCGCGUGUGUGAAGAAGGCCUUCGGGUUGUAAAGCCCUUUUGUUGGGAAAGAAAAGCAGCAGGUUAAUACCCCGCUGUUCUGACGGUACCCAAAGAAUAAGCACCGGCUAACUUCGUG